rnacentral:rRNA from 1 species
UACGGGGGGGGCAAGCGUUAUUCGGAAUCAUUGGGCGUAAAGGGCGCGUAGGCGGUCUUUUAAGUCAGAUGUGAAAGCCCUCGGCUUAACCGAGGAAGUGCAUUUGAUACUAAGAGACUUGAGUAUGGGAGAGGGAAGCGGAAUUCCUGGUGUAGCGGUGAAAUGCGUAGAGAUCAGGAGGAACACCGGUGGCGAAGGCGGCUUCCUGGACCAAUACUGACGCUGAGGCGCGAAGGCGUGGGGAGCAAACAGG